GAUUAUUUAGUUUAAAAUUAAAACAAAUGUUUUGAAAACAUUAAAUAAGAAGGUAUUCUUAAUAAUUG
rnacentral:tRNA from 1 species